AGCUCCAAUAGCGUAUAUUAAAGUUGUUGCAGUUAAAAAGCUCGUAGUUGGAUUUGUGGCAGUCGCCUGCGGCCCGGCAUUCGUGCCGGUGUUUGCUAGCGUCGCCAUCCUUGGGUGGAACCUGUGUGGCAUUAGGUUGUCGUGCAGGGGAUGCCCAUCGUUUACUGUGAAAAAAUUAGAGUGUUCAAAGCAGGCUUAUGCCGUUGAAUAUAUUAGCAUGGAAUAAUAAGAUAGGACCUUGGUACUAUUUUGUUGGUUUGCGCACCAAGGUAAUGAUUAAUAGGGACAGUUGGGGGUAUUCGUAUUCCAUUGUCAGAGGUGAAAUUCUUGGAUUUUUGGAAGACGAACUACUGCGAAAGCAUUUACCAAGGAUGUUUUCAUUA
rnacentral:rRNA from 1 species